GACGGAGGGGGCUAGCGUUGUUCGGAAUUACUGGGCGUAAAGAGCGCGUAGGCGGUUUAGUAAGUUGGAAGUGAAAGCCCGGGGCUUAACCUCGGAAUUGCUUUCAAAACUGUCUAAGCUAGAGUGUAGUAGGGGAUGAUGGAAUUCCUAGUGUAGAGGUGAAAUUCUUAGAUAUUAGGAGGAACACCGGUGGCGAAGGCGGUCAUCUAGGCUACAACUGACGCUGAGGCGCGAAAGCGUGGGGAGCAAACAGG
rnacentral:rRNA from 1 species